rnacentral:rRNA from 1 species
UGGACGCAUCACUGGUGUUCGGGUUGUCAUGCCAAUGGCACUGCCCGGUAGCUAAAUGCGGAAGAGAUAAGUGCUGAAAGCAUCUAAGCACGAAACUUGCCCCGAGAUGAGUUCUCCCUGAGACUUUAAGUCUCCUGAAGGAACGUUGAAGACGACGACGUUGAUAGGCCGGGUGUGUAAGCGCAGCGAUGCGUUGAGCUAACCGGUACUAAUGAACCGUGAGGCUUAACCUUACAACGCCGAAG